rnacentral:lncRNA from 1 species
UUGUCUGAAUGCAGAAUUACUGGAUAUCUGCACAUUAGUAGAUGUCAAAGCAAGGUCUUGCAGAUUACAACCACAUGCAUCAAAAUGGAUGCUGAUAAGAAACUUCUAUAAAGUUUUCGUACUUUUACAUGGGAGAGGCAGGUAGUUAGUCUCCACUUCUCUUCUUCUCCUUAUUUAGUCGUAUUAGUUAGUAUUCACGUAAUAUCUUAUUCUUCUUCUGCUCUGUUUAUUUUGCUAUGUUGCUAUAUUUUCCUUUCAAUCCUGACCUUGAUUACACUUAUUUUGAGCCGAGGGUCUAUCAGAAACAACCUCGCUACCUCACAAAGAUAGGGGUAAGGUUUGCAUAAAUUCUACCCUCCCCAGACCCCACUUGUGGGACUACACUGGGUAUGUUGUUGUAAGAAACUUCACUAAUGGUAUCUUGUGCUUUAGUUUUGGUAUAAGCUUAUUCAAGUUUAGUGCUCUUCCAAGCAUUGCUGCAUCUAUUUAUUGUUUGAGCUAAAACACCACUAAACACUAAAAAACUUUGAUAAAUUAUUCUUCAAUAGAAGAGUUUGUAUUGUGUAAUAAAUAAUUGCACUUCGAGAGAUAAUCAAGUCUAGAGACUCUACCUCUAUGUUGCCUACAUCGUCCAUUGGUCUCCUCUGGACAUUUGAGUCGCCUAGAAUUUCUCUUUUCAGUGGGUUAAAUUGAAUGGGUGAUGGCUGCAUGCCACAUGGACUGCUCAUUACCUUAUGCUGCAUGGGAACUGACUCCUCUUCCUUUUUUGCUAGUGCUGCUUUCAAAGUUGCAAUCUGAUAAAACAAAGAUAUUGUUCUUCAGAACAAAUCAAUCUAUACUAGGAAUACUUUUUAUACUGGAAAGAAAAAGCAAUUAAAAGGAAAAAAAAGAAGAAAAGAAAACCUGUUCUUUGAGCUCUUUGACAUCUGUAGAGUCUUUGUUUACUCGUGCAGCGCCUAGUUCAACAGUAGAAACACGUUCUGCAAAUUUAAGUGUGCUAAUUGUUUCUCCUACUGCUUCAGGCUCAGGGCUUAUGUGAACGAACAUCAAAGUUUUGGCUUGCCCUCCUACAAAAAAGUCAUAUACCAAAAACCAAUCAUUACUAGACAGAAAGAAAAGAGUCACAAGAACAAUCGAGUUUCAUCAUUUAGCUUAUAUCCUAC